UCGACUUUAAAAAAAACAGAACCAGUGUUGAAAAAUCAGGUUCAGAAAAGGAAAUAUUGGCCACUAUAAUCAGAGUUCCCAAAGAAACACCAGACUUCCCCAAGACCUUUAAAGUUGAAUUCAGAUCAGGUAAUCUCCUUUAUCUUCAACCAAUGAGGUCAUUGGCAACAGUAUGAAAAAUCUUCAAUUCUAAGUAACUGAAAAUCAAGUCACAGCAGUUUAAACAACCCUUGGUUUGUCUUUCUCACAAUGUUGUAGAUUGAACUGUGUCCUGGAAAAAUAUAUGUUCAAAACCUAACUUCUGGUACCUGCAAAUGUGACUUUAUUUGGAAAUAGGAUCUUUGUAGAUGUAAUCAACUUAAGACGAGGUCAUACUGGAUUAACAUGGGCCCUAAUCCAACCACUGGUGACCUUAUAAGAAAAGGUAAAUUCAGACACAGAGGAGAGGUGCCAUGUGAGCAUGGAGGCAGAGACUAAAGUGAAGCAUCCACAAGGCACAGAACACCAAGGAUGGUCGACAGCCAUUAGAAGUUAGGGCCAGGUAGGGGCCAGAUCCUUCAAAGGGAGCAUGGCCCUGCCAGCACCUUUAUCUUGGACUUCUAACCUCCAGACCUGUGAGAAUACAUUUCUGUUGCAUGAAGCCACUCUGUUUGUGGUACCAGAAGUGGGGUGCUGCUGUAACAAACACCCAAUAAUGCAGAUGUGUAUUGAAAUUGGGUAAUGGCUAGAGGAGUUUUAAGGCUCAUGAUAGAAAAAUAACUAGGAUGCCUUGAAGAGAUUGUUAGUAGGAAUAUGGACAUGAAUGGUGAUUCUUGAGGGGGCUCAGAAAGAAGUGAAAAGGACAGUGAGAACUGCCCUCUCAUCUCAGAGAAUACAUCUGUUGUCAUGAACAGAAUGUUACUAAAAACCAUGAGCAUUAGAGAUACUUCUGGUGAGGACUCAGACAGAAACAAGGGCUUGGUUCUUACAGACCCUGGUUCAGAAGCGAGGACAUUUCUUCCUAUUUAUGAUCACUGAGUUGGGUAGCCGAUCCCAGACUCAGAGUGACCUAAGCGCUCUUGAAGUGCUCGGGAGAAUCUGUGUGAUAGAAGACUGUGUGUCCUAUGGCAAAAGGCAUGUACAUGCACCAAAGAAAGAAAACAUGUUGGAGGCUAGAGGGACAGUUGGGACUGGAGUGUCUGCGUCCCAUGACCUGGGGCCCAGGAAGUUGGCAGGAACAUAGGAAUGGGAGGCCUGCCUUCCCAGGCUCCACUAUUCCUCACUCCCUGUUCCCUCUCAUCACCAGGCUUCCGGAUGCUAAGCUACUUGGGGGCAAUGAAUAUUUGUUGAAUUACCCCCUCAGAUUCCUCAAAACUCAACUCUGCUAGUUUUUAUUUUGGUAGUUUUAGUUAACACAUAAUUGCCUUCAGCAAUUAACACCUAAGAGAGAGUUUGAUUCCUCUCCUAUCAUGUCCUGAUUUCCCUUCCAGAUACUGUCGCUUCUGAAGACUUGGUGAUCAAAGCUGUUGUGGAAAUGCUCUCCUGGUCAGGUCUUCUGCAUGGAGGUCAAUCUACCUGGCAACCCCCUGUGGUCUGAGGAUUCACUUUAUGGGCAAGAGAAGCAAAGGAGUUCAUAGGGCUGAUGGAGAGACCAAGGCACUGCUUAAGGGACUGGCUGCAUCCACACGUCUUACAGACCUGACUCUACUUCCCCAGGAACUCACCCGGCAUGCUCCACACCAAGGGGACUUUUAAUUUCUCAGACUUCCUUCCGGGCCUGUGUCUAUGUUCCCCCUCAUCCUUCAGAUCAUUUUCCCUUGACCGAGGUUGGGUUACGGACUCCUUAAUGGCACGUGGCACUGAUCAUACUAGUGUCAUUGCUGGUUUGCCCUGCUCAUUAAACUGUACAAAAUGUCUUCAUUUUCCAUUAUACCUAGUUCCUGGCACAAAGCAAGCACUCAAAAAGAACUGCUGGAUAAAUUAAUCUGAAUUAUUGUCUCACUCUGGUUGGCCCUGGGCUCAUUAAAUCACUAAUGAAACUGUUCCCCUA